rnacentral:rRNA from 1 species
GAUGAACGCUGGCGGCGUGCCUAAUACAUGCAAGUCGAGCGAACAGACGAGGAGCUUGCUCCUCUGACGUUAGCGGCGGAUGGGUGAGUAACACGUGGAUAACCUACCUAUAAGACUGGGAUAACUUCGGGAAACCGGAGCUAAUACCGGAUAAUAUAUUGAACCGCAUGGUUCAAUAGUGAAAGACGGUUUUGCUGUCACUUAUAGAUGGAUCCGCGCCGCAUUAGCUAGUUGGUAAGGUAACGGCUUACCAAGGCAACGAUGCGUAGCCGACCUGAGAGGGUGAUCGGCCACACUGGAACUGAGACACGGUCCAGACUCCUACGGGAGGCAGCAGUAGGGAAUCUUCCGCAAUGGGCGAAAGCUUGACGGAGCAACGCCGCGUGAGUGAUGAAGGUCUUCGGAUCGUAAAACUCUGUUAUUAGGGAAGAACAAAUGUGUAAGUAACUAUGCACGUCUUGACGGUACCUAAUCAGAAAGCCACGGCUAACUACGU